GUCGCAAAUUCAAUUUUUGCUUUUUGGAACUUUCUGGCAGUUUUUUCUGGAAUAUUUUCGAUCUGGUUGCAUGAAUCCUUGGGGAACUCGUGGAUACAGAUGGUCAGCUGUAUGUGUUUUAAGAAUGAUAGUCUCACAGGUGGAUGAACUCAAACUGUUCUGUUAUAAAAUGACAAUUUAGCCACUGUGCAUUUUCCUGCAGAAAUAAAUACUAAAAUUUGAUGCCUUGACCCCUUUCCAUGUUGACUUAGAGUUUGGCAGCUGGAGGGAGGCAGAUUGAAUAAAAGACACUGGGAUAGAUGGGACAGGUUGAAUUACCUUCUCUUUCGGAAUUUCGACUUUAAGGGACUCUGUCAAAUAAAUACGACCAUUUGGCAACAUAAAUUCAAUUUAGUUUUCUAGGAAUAUUGACCUAACUGAAUUUCUCUGAUUCCUAGAUAGUGGUUUUUUAAAAAGCAUUUUCCUUGUGCUGGAUUUUGACAGUUUUAAAAUCACGACAAAUCGCAGCUGCAGCCUAAAGUUUUACCUCAAUACUAAUGCUGCUAAUAUGUUGCUCAGCUCACAUCAGGGUGAGAAAGGGCAGAGGAGGCAAUUCUGUGAAAGUCUGAUUUCAACCAGUUGGUUUAUUAUCUUGCUGGAAGUUUCGAAAUAUUUACUGUGUUUUUUGGAAACCCAGGUGAUGUAAAAUUCUCAUUGUGUCCUGAUGUAGUUCAGUGUGUUUUCCAGGCUCAGAAUCGCCCUCCCGACAGCCGGCGCUCCAGCCUCCGUCCAGGUACUUGUGCAGAGGGUCUAGUUUCUAACGGGAGCUGAAAGGUUAGCAGCCCAGAGCCCCUCACGUUUGACAGGAUCCAAACUGCUGGAUACAGGUGCACCGGCUGGAACACGGGGAUGGAGGGAUUCUCAACCUUGACGACAUCCUGUGUGACGUGGCCGACGACAAAGACAGAACACCUGAGUGGGCAGGUAACAUUCUGGAAACAGUCCUCAUGAAUAUUCAUGAAGGACAUCUGGCGGCAAAACGCAGAGGAGAAAAAUAACAAUAAAAACCAAGUAAGCUGAGAAUCAAUAAUGUAUACUUUGUAUUAUUAAAGCGAUUUUUUAUGAUUUUGAGCUUCUGUUCAAAUCUAAUUUCAUGUUUUCUGAGAAAAAUACUUAACCAUAAUAACAGCUGGCUUCAUUACAUUAAGUGCAAAUACUAUUUGUUUGUAUGUUAACUUGGCAUUAGUAUCUGCACUAGGUAGAAGAAUUUUAAGUUAUAUUUGAAGAAAUCCAUUAAAACCAAUACCAUCAAUAUAUUGGCAUUUGUGGUGAGGCUUUCAGAGCGGUGAGCCUCACCUGACCUGUGAGGUUGAUACCCCUGGACAGAGAAGUGUUUUGUUUUGUGAAUCAGAUUAUUCUCCUUGGGGUACUGUGUUAAAGUCAAAGCUUGAGUUCCACAUUCACAUCCUGUUAGUGGUGUUUUUAGUUUAAGCUUGUGGCUUAAUUAAGCUCUCAGUAUUUCCACUAGACUCUUCAGUGCCAGUGCUGG